AUGCCAUUAGGCACUGUCUGCCCUGGUCCUCCUACAAUCCAGCCAGUGCAGUUCCCGUCACAGCAAGUGCUUCCUCUCUCGGAGCAGACAAGCUAACUGAAGCCACAGCCGGAAGCAGGCUGACCACAAGUGCUAAGCUUCUGGUUAGUUCUUUUCUAGGUUCAAAAGAAGAGGCUGUUCUAAGAAAGACUACCGAGUAAUCAAUCACCUCCUCAGAGAAGGUCUGCUCAGAGAUCACCUCACCAGCUACCUCACUGGGUUACUUUAAGGAUCAGAUGGCUGUGAAAACAUCCUAUGAACUGGAAAGCAUUAUGCAAAAAUAUUAUAAAUCAGUAUGCCAUCUGCCUAGAACUGAGACAGAGUCAGUGCUGCAAUCCAGGUAUUGACUCUAGUUUCAGUGCUCAACUCCUGUGUAAAGUUCUUUUCUUUGGGAUAAAAGUUUAGGGAUACCGAUUUCUCUUUUUACCAACUAAGCCACAUGAAGGGUAUCCAGACUGUACAAAUCAAGGUGUCAGUCUGGUUCUGCUUUUGAGUUCUGAAUGACAUUACCAAAACAGGCCACAUUAUAUAAUCUUUGGCUGGACUGGAAUGACCAGUCACCCUUCCCAGACUCCAUAGUUGUUCUUGGAUGAUACAGCACAACAAAGAUGGGCUCAUCCCAGCAGAGAGAACACACCCAUUUCUGAUGAAAUCCCGAGGAAGAGCCAGCCGCAGAAUCAUCCUUUCAAGUCAUUCUGGGGCCACAGGUGAAGCAUUCCCUGGGCACCCACGGGGACUGUGAUACACAGGGUGCACACUUGCAGGGUACAGCUGGGUCCCGGGCACCUAGGCUACCAGGCUGAGGAAACCAGAGGUCACAGGAGGAGAGAAAGGUGGGACUGGCCGCCUAUGCUGGACAAGGGCAGGGCAAGCCCGUUUGAGAAUCUGAAUAAAGAACAAUCAGGCUCACUCACCCUUCUCCCCACAUCAGUGUCCAAGCUGGGACAUCUCACUUAGGCAACUUCCCGGGCACUUUGAAUUAGCUAAGAAAUAUGCCAGAACAUUCCCAGUGGCUACGGAUAAGGAUUUUAGCUAUUUUUUCAUGGUUUUCUUCUAUUCUUUUCUGGAUUCCAUUAGUAUUCAACUUUGAUCUCUUACUACUUUUAUAUAGCAAUAUAUUAUGUUUGUUUUAAACUUACUGAAACAUCUUUCCAAAGUUCUGUGCUGUUGUUUCAGGGAAAGAUACAUUUACCUUUGAAAACACACACACCCUCACCAAUAAGCUGCUUCAACACAACCACGUUCCAUCCCAGCUUUAUCAUCUGAUGGGCUUUUAUACUGGAAAGCUCUGAAAUGAAACAGUUUUACUUAAGGUCAGCCCUGCCUAGACACACUGAGAAAGAAGUGAUGGAAGAUGUUAUCCUUCUCACCAUCCACAGGAAUUCAUAAAGAGGUGAGAAAGCUACCAGCACUGUUACUGACUUGAGACUGGUUUGGAAGAACGGUGCCACACAGCAAGAUCUCCUUAGGGAGAAAGAGAUCAUCUGUCAUGUAGAUGUGCUCCAAAUUCAUCUUCUCCAAACCCUCCCUUUUUCUAACCAGCCCCUUGUACUCUGACCCGUUAUUUACUAGCGUGUUCACACAGCUAGCGUGUCCCCUUCUCCCUCCUGUCAGCCACAUUCUUGCUCCUGACAUAGACCCUAAGGCUCACACCCUCCUGUUUCAUAUUUCACGAACUCCUGUCCCCACUCUGAAUGUUGCUUAUUGGAAUCUCAAAGCUACAAUGGGCACAAGAGACCCUUUGAUUCCACUUCCUCAUUUUAUAGGCGGUAAAACUGAGGCCCUGAAGAGAGAAGAUGUGUCAAAGGUGAAAACUCAGUCAAGUUCACCUGUAUAGCUUUCACACACAAAUGACUCUCCCUAAAACUGACAUCUCUUCCCCAUUCUCACAUUCCCUAGAGACAUGACAGUAGGCUUCAUAGUAAAGACUUAGAUUUUAAAGAACUCUGAAUACAUAUACUUGAUGUAGACAGUCACAUUUAGAACAUUUUCCAGGUAAGAGCAGUUUUAUAACUGCAUUUUUAUGGUUACAGACUUCUCCGUAUCCUGUUAUACUACAGUCCAGCUCUACCAGACACAGUCAAUACUUGGAAUACACAGGACAUAAAGGAGUUGAGGCAGGAGAGUUACAAAUGUAGUGAGGAAGUCUGGAAGUAAAGGGCAAGUCGGGCAACCCAGUGGAGUCUGCGGUCGGGGAAGGAGCAGGAGGGUGGGUCAAGGUAUGGACGGGGGGAGAAAAUGCACUUUGGAGCUUAUCAGAUCUGCCAAGUUGGGGAAAAUGUGCAUGUAUGCAGCUAUUUCAUAUGUGUAAUAAAGCAUGGACAAACAUACAUCCAUACAUCCCUGGACGAACUAGCCAACGGGGAGAACUGUUUUCAUGCACAGUGAGGCCGUCUUCAGUGGCUGAUGGAAUGAUGUCUGUGCAUAACCCUCAUGUCCUGCACAGACUCACAGAAUAGACUCUUGGGUAUACCUGGCUCACGCCCUAUGCUCUCCCUUAGCACACAAGCUCCUUCAGGGCGGAUCAGGGCUCUGCUCAACUCACUGCUACAAACAACACCUGGCACACCCUCCAUGAAGGUCAGGAUGUAGGAAAUUCAGAGGGGAGUGCUAAGAGGUCACUGCAGAACCGAGGCCCCAAUGCCAAGUGCUUCACAAUAAAAGAAAAGUGCCUGUGAAGUGCUCCAUGGGACAAGGGGUGAUUUCAUCCCCUCUAGACUAAAGGGCAGAAUGUGUUCUGAGGCUGGGUGGGGAAACAUAAGCUCAGCAACUGCUUUGUGCAGCUGCCACUGACAUGAACCCAAGCUCAAGUGCACAGGGUGGGGUGAGAGGCUGGCUGGCUGGGCGGCGAGUCCAAUGACGCUGACACACUGUUUCCAGCCACCGGGAAGCCGGUGCCAAAUCCCUCUUCACUCCUCCCUGCUCCGAUAUUCUUGCCGCUGCCGUGGUGCCAGCUAACUUCAGGAGGCAUUCUGGGAAUUGUGUUUAGCAGGCAAAACAGGCUGUCUCCUUACCCACGGCGCAGGGCUUUCAGAGCCCAGGUGACAUUUUAACCAAUGCUCGUGGCCUCCCAGGUUGGGCCACAAGGAAAGCUGCUGCUCAGCACUACUGACGCUGAAAUAUCAAUCUUCUAGGAACAUACCCAGGCACGCCCUUCCUCCUAACAUCCUCGCUGGAAUUCGGAAUAAAAGCCCAAACCCAUCACCAUGCAUUUGCACAAAGCAGAG